rnacentral:rRNA from 1 species
AUGCAAGUCGAGGGACCGGCGCACGGGUGAGUAACGCGUAUCCAACCUGCCCAUGUCUGGGGAAUAACCCGUCGAAAGGCGGACUAACUCCCCAUGGACAUGGAUGGGGAUGCGUCUGAUUAGGUAGUAGGCGGGGUAACGGCCCACCUAGCCUACGAUCAGUAGGGGUUCUGAGAGGAAGGUCCCCACAUUGGAACUGAGACACGGUCCAAACUCCUACGGGAGGCAGCAGUGAGGAAUAUUGGUCAAUGGACGAGAGUCUGAACCAGCCAAGUAGCGUGCAGGAUGACGGCCUAUGGGUUGUAAACUGCUUUUGCGCGGGGAUAGGUACCGCGCGAAUAAGGACCGGCUAAUUCCGUGCCAGCAGCCGCGGUAAUACGGAAGGUCCGGGCGUUAUCCGGAUUUAUUGGGUUUAAAGGGAGCGUAGGCCGUGAGGUAAGCGUGUUGUGAAAUGUAGGCGCCCAACGUCUGCACUGCAGCGCGAACUGCCCCACUUGAGUGCGCGCAACGCCGGCGGAACUCGUCGUGUAGCGGUGAAAUGCUUAGAUAUGACGAAGAACCCCGAUUGCGAAGGCAGCUGGCGGGAGCGUAACUGACGCUGAAGCUCGAAAGCGCGGGUAUCG